GCUUGUCUCAAAGAUUAAGCCAUGCAUGUCUAAGUAUAAACAAAUCUAUACUGUGAAACUGCGAAUGGCUCAUUAUAUCAGUUAUAGUUUAUUUGAUGGUUCUUGCUACUUGGAUAACCGUAGUAAUUCUAGAGCUAAUACAUGCACAAAAUCCCGACUUACGAAGGGAUGUAUUUAUUAGAUACAAACCAACAUCGUGGUGAUUCAUAAUAACUUUCGGAUCGAUCUUCGGAUCGAUGCAUCAUUCAAGUUUCUGCCCUAUCAGCUUUGGAUGGUAGGGUAUUGGCCUACCAUGGCUUUAACGGGUAACGGAGAAUUAGGGUUCGAUUCCGGAGAGGGAGCCUGAGAAAUGGCUACCACAUCCAAGGAAGGCAGCAGG
rnacentral:rRNA from 1 species